CUUUAAAACCAAGUAAAAAAAGGUAAUUUAGCGUGCAAUAACAAGUAGAAAUCGCCCCUCGGGCACAGUAUCAACCACUUAGGACAGUAUCAGCCUCUCGAGCUCACUCUCAGAUCAAUAUCAGUCCUUCGGACUCACUCUCAGAAUAAUAUUAGCCCCUCGGGCUCACUCUCAAAAUAAUAUCAGCCCUUCGGGCUCACUCUCUAAUCAUGAUGGGUACCCGCGCUCACGGUGGGUGUGCAGACUCCGAAGGGACCCUUUACGGCCCAAACGCUAUAUCAAAUCACCUCGUGGUAUCAACUCUCAGCACUCGACCUCACAUCACUCAGCAUUUGGCUCACAUCACUCAAGCCACCUUGUGGCAUAUAAAUGUAUCUCAAGCCCUCGACCUC
rnacentral:lncRNA from 1 species